GACGAACGCUGGCGGCGUGCCUAAUACAUGCAAGUAGGACGCAAUUGCGAACGGGUGUGUAACGCGUACGUAACUACCUCUUAGAUGGGGAUAACUAUUGGAAACGAUAGCUAAUGCCGCAUACUCUUAGAUGGACGUACGUUGUAUUAGGUAGUAGGCAGGGUAAUGGCCUACCAAGGCAACGAGUCCUAGCCGAGCUGAGAGGGCGAUCGGCCACAUGGGGACGGGCACAGGCCCAGAACCCCACGGGAGGGAGCCGUUGGGGAACUUCGGAAAUGGGGGGAACGCUGAACGAGCAAAGGCGCGUGAGUGAAGGAGGUCUUCGGAGCGGAAAGGUAUGUUGUGAGGGAAGCGGUACUUAAACAGAAAGGGACGGCUAACUACGUGCCAGCAGCCGCGGUAAUAC
rnacentral:rRNA from 1 species